rnacentral:rRNA from 1 species
GGUUCGAUUCGUCGUCCCCGCUACUGA